rnacentral:rRNA from 1 species
GACGAACGCUGGCGGCGUGCUUAACACAUGCAAGUCGAGCGGAGCGGUGAAGGGGUGAGUAGCGGGUGAGUAACUGCCCCCCUCUCUGGGAUAACAGUUGGAAACGGCUGAUAAUACCUGAUAGUGGGGGAUGACUCGCGUCCUAUCGGCUUGUUGGUGGGGUGGUGGCCGACCAAGGCGAGGAGGGGUAGCCUGCCUGAGAGGGGGACCGGCCACAUGGGGCUGCGAGACGGAGCAAACUCGUACGGGAGGCAGCAGUGGGGAAUAUUGCACAAUGGGGGAACCCGUGAUGCAGCAGCGUCGCGUGCGGAAUGACGGCCUUCGGGUUGUAAACCGCUUUCAGCCAUGACGCGGUAGUUGCAGAAGAAGCAACGGCUAACUACGUGCCAGCAGCCGCGGUAAUUC